rnacentral:rRNA from 1 species
GACGAACGCUGGCGGCGUGCUUAACACAUGCGAGUCGAACGGAAAGGCCCUGCUUUUGUGGGGUGCUCGAGUGGCGAACGGGUGAGUAACACGUGAGUAACCUGCCCUUGACUUUGGGAUAACUUCAGGAAAAUGGGGCUAAUACAGGAUAGGAGCUCCUGCUGCAUGGUGGGGGUUGGAAAGUUUCGGCGGUUGGGGAUGGACUCGCGGCUUAUCAGCUUGUUGGUGGGGUAGUGGAUUACCAAGGCUUUGACGGGUAGCCGGCCUGAGAGGGUGACCGGGCACAUGGGGACUGCGGUAGGGCCCAGACUCCUACGGUAGGCAGCGGGGGGGAAUAUGGCGCAAUGGGCGGGAGCCUGAUACAGCAACGCCGCGUGCGGGAUGACGUCCUUCGAGUUGUAAACCGCUUUCGCCGGUGACGAAGCGAGAGUGACGGUAAUUGAUAAAAAAGCACCGGCUAACUACGUG